CCUACGGGGGGCAGCAGUGGGGAAUAUUGGGCAAUGGGCGCAAGCCUGACCCAGCAACGCCGCGUGAAGGAAGAAGGCUUUCGGGUUGGAAACUUCUUUUCUGAGGGACGAAGAAAGUGACGGUACCUCAGGAAUAAGCCACGGCUAACUACGUGCCAGCAGCCGCGGUAAUACGUAGGUGGCAAGCGUUAUCAGGAUUUCUUGCGUGUAAAGGGCGUGUAGGAGGGAAAGCCAGUCAGAUGUGAAAACUCCGGGGUCAACCCUGAGCCAGGAUUUGAAACUGUUUUUCUUGCGUGCUGGAGAGGUAAUCGGAAUUCCGGGUGUAGCGGUGAAAUGCGUAGAUAUACGGAGGAACACCAGUGGCGAAGGCGGAUUGCUGGACAGUAACUGACGCUGAGGCGCGAAAGCGUGGGGAGCAAACAGGAUUAGAUACCCUAGUAGUC
rnacentral:rRNA from 1 species